UACAGAGGGUGCGAGCGUUAAUCGGAAUUACUGGGCGUAAAGCGUGCGUAGACGGUAGCGUAAGUCAGAUGUGAAAGCCCCGGGCUCAACCUGGGAAUUGCAUUUGAGACUGCUCUGCUUGGGUGCGGAAGAGGGAAGCGGAAUUUCCGGUGUAGCGGUGAAAUGCGUAGAUAUCGGAAGGAACACCAGUGGCGAAGGCGGCUCUCUGGGACGGUACUGACGCUGAGACGCGAAAGCGUGGGGAGCGAACAGG
rnacentral:rRNA from 1 species